ACUCACUUUCAUAUAGCAGGUGGCAAGACACAGUCUGAGCAGCAACUAUGGCGCCUCUACACUUCAAUGCUAAAGCCAUAGCAAAUGCGCUAGCAUCAUUUGCUGUUGUCUUCUUGUUUGUUACCUUCUGUUAUUUGCUAAAAGAGGGGUUUGUUUGUCCGUGUGACCCUAAUGAAAAUACAUGGUUCUGCGCACUUUACAUAUAUGUGCCGUUCUUCAUUUUUUUGGGAUUUAUGAUGGUCAUGGACAACACACUUUUGGGGAUUUGUGAACAUGAGCAAUGGUUCACUUACAUUGUUGUAGUUCUGAAGCGCUUUCUAAAAGCUGUCACUGUGGGUUUAAUAUGGAUUGUAAUAGUACUGAUAGACGGAGACUACUUGGUGUGUCUUCAAACAACAUCGCUGAACAUCACAGUCAGAAGUGAGCAGCCAGCGUGUAAACAGGAACCUACAGCUGACGAGUUUGCAGAUAUAAGACACUGGCAAAGUCUGUCACUCGUCACUGGAUUGAUUCUCCUUUGUUGGCUGUUGCUUGCAUGGGUAUUUGUCGUAUGGUGCUCAAAACGACAAAUGCACAUGUUCUAUAUUAAGGUUCUCUAUGCUGAAUAUCUACUGGAAGAGGCUGACAACGAGCUGAGAAAGGAACUUAGGGAACUGGCCAAGACCAGAGCUGAAUACAAAGUACAGGCCAAACUGAUCCAAAUACGAAACAAUGUAGGCCCUAUAAACCCACCUGCAGGUUAUGAACGUUUUUAAACUUUUGAGCAGUUGAUUGACAGCUGAACGACUUUUUCAUAAUCCACUGGGAGGGAUAAGAAGCACUGGGAGCAAUAUAUUGCCUCUGCUACUGCCAAUAGGUCAUUAAUUUGGUUUCACUGAUGUUUUAUUUUAUAUCUUAAGAUUUAUACUGGUAAUGUGCAUACUUUAGCUACAUUAAAUCUGAAGAGGCCUGUUCACAGAUUCACACAGUGAAAUUCACACAUAUCCUGAAGUGCAGAAUGAACUGCAUAACCUUCCUGCACAGUAUAAUAGUGCACUGUGGUUAACAGUCUACUGUGGUUUCAAUCAAAAGCUGUGAAUAUCAUUUCUGAAUCAUCAUAGUCCUGCGAUGGAUUGGCAAUGUACCUUGCAUUCUCUCAUGGCUACCAGGAUAUUCUCCAGCUCACCAAGACCAGCAAUGGAUUAAGUGGGUUUGACAAUUAAUGAAUAAAUCAGUGUACUACCUCAGUUACCAUUAGACUGACUGAUAUUUAAACUAGGGAUGCACAUUGAUAUGGGAAUUAUAUCAGUAUUGACUGAUACUUUAAAAUACAUUAAUGUAAGUUAAUUUGAUCAACUGUUUUGUAUAGGCUUACUCUGACUCUGAAUUAAUAAAAAAAAUUGUUUGGGUAUCAAUUAAACAGUUUUACUUGUGUAUUAUGUUAAUAUAGUCUGUGUCAUAAAUGUGCAACUGCAUUUUUUUGCUAUAUAGUUUAAAUGUUUCUGUGAAGAAAAAACACAAAAUAAAUAUGGAAAAAAUGUAUAUCCAUUUGUUUUCUAUGUAUACAACAAAUAAAAAUUCCAAAUUAAUUGAUUAAA